GAUUGGGUGGAGGCAAGAGAAGAAUAUUUAGAAGCAAAAGGGAAAGACAUGAAACCUCAAACUAAGUGACAAAGUGAGCAUAAUCACUGUCAGAGGAGAAUGUUAAGAAAACACAAAAGAGGUGCCGAUCCACAAGACAAAAAGUGAGAAACACACUCACUCGUCCAAACCCAAAGAAUGGAUUUAGAGGCAUGAAGAACAGCAAAAGUGAAACUAUUAAAUAAUGAUUUUGCAAGAUCAGGUGUCUGGUGUAUCUUCAUUGACUGAACCGUAAAAAGAAACUGGGUGCUCAAAUUACUGCUUGGAGAAGAAACAACCUCUGAUUCAGAAUACCAAAUUGGGAUUUUAUUGGACUCAAGGUCACGAUUGGAAAAUAGUAAUCCUCUCUGAAAGCUUCAUACCACAGGAAGUUUUAGGGUACAUGUGCACAAUGUGCAGGUUAGUGGAACGCAGCUCCUCACCAGCAACGGAACAAAGCUGGACGGAGAAUGACUUUGACGAGUUGAGAGAA
rnacentral:lncRNA from 10 species